UACGUAGGGGGCAAGCGUUGUCCGGAUUUAUUGGGCGUAAAGAGCGCGCAGGCGGUCGUUCAAGUCGAGUGUGAAAGCCCCCGGCUCAACUGGGGAGGGUCAUUCGAUACUGAUCGACUGGAAGGCAGGAGAGGGAAGCGGAAUUCCCGGUGUAGUGGUGAAAUGCGUAGAUAUCGGGAGGAACACCAGUGGCGAAGGCGGCUUCCUGGCCUGUUCUUGACGCUGAGGCGCGAAAGCUAGGGGAGCAAACGGG
rnacentral:rRNA from 1 species